rnacentral:rRNA from 1 species
CAAGUACCAUGAGGGAAAGAUGAAAAGGACUUUGAAAAGAGAGUUAAAAGUGCCUGAACUACGCUGAAAGGAAAGCGGAUGGAACCAGUCGUGCUUGGCGAGAUUGUUGCGUGCAAAGGUGACUGCUCACUUGUUGCAGCGUAAGCGCAGCAGCGGGUUUCGAUCUGGUCGCGCGCGAUGCUUCUUGCCUUGUUCGUCAUCGUUGGUUUGGGGGCGCGGACAACUCUUGGGACAUGGUAACUUGCCCACGGGUGAGCGAAUGUGCCUUGCAGAACUCACCUCCAAACUGAUGUCUCUUGUUAGGUUCUGUUGCCGUAUACGGCACGUUCUUGACAAAGCGUGGUGACAGAAUGGUUCUAUUCGACCCGUCUUGAAACACGGACCAAGGAGUCUAACAUAUGUGCAAGUACUUGGGUGGCGAAACCUAUGUGCGCAAUGAAAGUGAGUGCUGAGAUGCUUGCAUCAGCAGCCGAACCAAUCAAUUGGGGAGAGGUUUGAGCAUGAGCAUAUCUGUUAGGACCCGAAAGAUGGAUGAACUAUGCCUGAACAGAACGAAUUCAAGAGGAAACUCUGAUGGAGGUUCGUAUCGAUACUGACGUGCAAAU